CAAAUCUUGGCUUCAGCAACACUCCAUUUGACUUCAUGAAAUACACCAAUGCCUACAUGCUUGUCUAUAUACGUGAAAGUGACAAGGAGAAAAUAAUUUGUAACGUGGAUGAGAAGAACAUAGCUGAUCACCUUAUACUUGUCGUGGAAGAAAGAACAGGAAAAAAGGGAGCACAAGAAAACGGAAAAGGCAGAGAGUCAACUUUAUACAAUCAUAAAGGUUGCACAAAAUGAAGACCUCAAUGAGCAGAAUGGGAGGGAUAUUUAUUUUGAUCUUGUGGAUCAUGAUAAAGUCAGGAGCUUCCGUAUUCAAAAAAAAAUUCCUUUUAUCCUUUUCAAGGAACUGGUUGCUAAAGAGAUUGGCAUUCCAGUGCAGUACCAGCGCUUUUGGCUGUGGGCCAAGCACCAAAACAAUACCUAUCGUCCAAGCAGGCCAUUGACUUGUCAGGAAGAGCAACAAUCUGUAUGUACUUCCAUUGUCAUACCGUAUUUGUUUUAUUAGGUUUCAGCAACUAUAUUUAAAAGUUAUCAUGAAUCUAGCACUGCAUGUAUUGCUUUUUUUUUCUUG